rnacentral:rRNA from 1 species
GACGAACGCUGGCGGCGUGCUUAACACAUGCAAGUCGAACGGAAAGGCCUCUUUCGGGGGGUACUCGAGUGGCGAACGGGUGAGUAACACGUGAGUAACCUGCCCUUGACUUUGGGGUAACUUCAGGAAACUGGGGCUAAUACCGGAUAGGAGCUCCUGCUGCAUGGUGGGGGUUGGAAAGUUUCGGCGGUUGGGGAUGGACUCGCGGCUUAUCAGCUUGUUGGUGGGGUAGUGGCUUACCAAGGCUUUGACGGGUAGCCGGCCUGAGAGGGUGACCGGCCACAUUGGGACUGAGAUACGGCCCAGACUCCUACGGGAGGCAGCAGUGGGGAAUAUUGCACAAUGGGUGGAAGCCUGAUGCAGCAACGCCGUGUGCGGGAUGACGGCCUUCGGGUUGUAAACCGCUUUCGCUCAUGACGAAGCUUUGCGUGACGGUAGUGGGUAAAGAAGCACCGGCUAACUACGUG